AUUGAACGCUGGCGGCAGGCCUAACACAUGCAAGUCGAGCGAGCGGCGGACGGGUGAGUAAUGUAUGGGGACUGCCCGAUAGAGGGGGAUAACUACUGGAACCGGUGGCUAAUACCGCCUACUAUCGGAUAACCCAUAUGGGAUUAGCCAGUAGGUGGGGGAAAGGAUCACAUAGGCGACGAUCUCUAGCUGGUCUGAGAGGAUGAUCAGCCACACUGGGACGGAGACACGGCCCAGACUCCUACGGAGACAGCAGUGGGAAAUAUUGGACAAUGGGCGCAAGCCUGAUGCAGCCAUGCCGCGUGUGCGAUGAAGGUCUUCGGGUUGUAAAGCAUUUUUGGCAGGAAAGCGUUACCUGCAGAAUAAGCACCGGCUAACUACGUGCCAGCAGCCGCGGUAAUUC
rnacentral:rRNA from 1 species